rnacentral:piRNA from 1 species
UAAGGUUUCAGGUCUGUUAUGGCUCUAUU